GGACCAUGAGGGCCACAGAGACUCUGAAGAAAUGUCUGAUGAAACAGCGCAUUGUGUCUGCUGGGGUCGGGCUCCUACAGCAAGAGAUAAAGAAGGCCACUUGUCCUCUGAUGACAUUUGCUGCCACUCUUCCUACAUUUGUUUGGAGUUCCAACUCUCCCAGAGUUUCCCCUGCUCAGAACGGCUUUUUGUCAUGUGAGUGAUUCACUUGUGAACUUCUGUAUAAGAUACCCAGAGGGCUGGAGAGAUGGC
rnacentral:sRNA from 1 species